UAAGGAAUAUUGCUCAAUGGGAGCAAUCCUGAAGCAGCAACGCCGCGUGGAGGAUGAAGGGCUUUCAGCUUGUAAACUCCUGUAAAGAAGGAAAAAAUUCUCAUUAGAUGGGAAAUGAUGGUACUUCUAAAGUAAGCACUGGCUAACUACGUGCCAGCAGCCGCGGUAAUACGUAGGGGGCAAGCGUUGUCCGGAUUUACUGGGUGUAAAGGGUGCUCAGGCGGAUGUGUAAGUCAGAGGUGAAAUCUCACAGCUUAACUGUGAAACUGCCUUUGAUACUGCAAGUCUAGAGUAUGGAAGAGAGUGAUGGAAUGUCUGGUGUAGCAGUGAAAUGCGUAGAUAUCAGAUAGAACACCAAUGGCGAAGGCAGUCACUUGGUCCAUUACUGACGCUAAAGCACGAAAGCGUGGGUAGCAAACA
rnacentral:rRNA from 1 species